rnacentral:rRNA from 1 species
AACGAACGCUGGCGGCAUGCCUAACACAUGCAAGUCGAACGAGACCUUCGGGUCUAGUGGCGCACGGGUGCGUAACGCGUGGGAAUCUACCCUCAGGUUCGGAAUAACUCAGAGAAAUUUGAGCUAAUACCGGAUGAUGACGUAAGUCCAAAGAUUUAUCGCCUGAGGAUGAGCCCGCUUAGGAUUAGGUAGUUGGUGAGGUAAAGGCUCACCAAGCCGACGAUCCUUAGCUGGUCUGAGAGGAUGAUCAGCCACACUGGGACUGAGACACGGCCCAGACUCCUACGGGAGGCAGCAGUGGGGAAUAUUGGACAAUGGGCGAAAGCCUGAUCCAGCAAUACCGCGUGAGUGAUGAAGGCCUUAGGGUUGUAAAGCUCUUUUACCCGGGAUGAUAAUGACAGUACCGGGAGAAUAAGCUCCGGCUAACUCCGUG